rnacentral:rRNA from 1 species
GACCCGUGAUCCGGGUUGCGGACAGUGUCUGGUGGGUAGUUUGACUGGGGCGGUCUCCUCCUAAAGAGUAACGGAGGAGCACGAAGGUUGGCUAAUCCUGGUCGGACAUCAGGAGGUUAGUGCAAUGGCAUAAGCCAGCUUGACUGCGAGCGUGACGGCGCGAGCAGGUGCGAAAGCAGGUCAUAGUGAUCCGGUGGUUCUGAAUGGAAGGGCCAUCGCUCAACGGAUAAAAGGUACUCCGGGGAUAACAGGCUGAUACCGCCCAAGAGUUCAUAUCGACGGCGGUGUUUGGCACCUCGAUGUCGGCUCAUCACAUCCUGGGGCUGAAGUAGGUCCCAAGGGUAUGGCUGUUCGCCAUUUAAAGUGGUACGCGAGCUGGGUUUAGAACGUCGUGAGACAGUUCGGUCCCUAUCUGCCGUGGGCGCUGGAGAACUGAGGGGGGCUGCUCCUAGUACGAGAGGACCGGAGUGGACGCAUCACUGGUGUUCGGGUUGUCAUGCCAA